rnacentral:rRNA from 1 species
CCUACGGGUGGCAGCAGUGGGGAAUAUUGCGCACUGGGCGAACGCCUGACGCAGCGCCGCCGCGUGAGGGCUGAAGGUCUUAGGAACGGAACCCUCUGUCAGCAGGGAAGUACGUUCACUGUCCUCAUCAGCAGUGAAUUGACGGUACCUGCAAAGGAAGCACCGGCUAACUCCGUGCCAGCAGCCGCGGUAAUACGGCGGUUGCGAGUGUUAAUCGGAAUUACUGGGCGUAAAGCGCUCGUAGGCGGUAUGUCAAGUCAAGUGUGACAUCUCCGCGCUCAACGUGGGAACUGCCUUUGAAACUGGCAAACGGGAGUGUGUGAGAGGAGAGUGGAAUUCCAGGUGUAGGAGUGAAAGCCUUAGAGAUCUGGAGGAACAUCAGUGGCGAAGGCGACUAUCUGGCACAUAACUGACGCUGAGGAGCGAAAGCGUGGGUAGCAAACAGGAGUAGAUACCCUUGUAGUC